AACGCACAUUGCGCCCGCCAGUAUUCUGGCGGGCAUGCCUGUUCGAGCGUCAUUUCAACCCUCAAGCCCCCAAGCUUGGUGUUGGGGAUCGGCCGCACACUGCGGCGGCCGGCCCUGAAAUACAGUGGCGGUCUCGCUGUUGCCUCUCUUGCGUAGUAGCACAUCUCGCAUUGGAGUGCAGCGUGGCCACGCCGUAAAACCCCCUAAUUUCUGAAUGUUGACCUCGGAUCAGGUAGGAAUACCCGCUGAACUUAA
rnacentral:misc_RNA from 1 species